rnacentral:rRNA from 1 species
GACAGAGGCCUCAAGCGUUAGGCGGAAUCACUGGGCUUAAAGCGUGUGUAGGCGGAUCGUUAAGUGUCUUGUGAAAUCCCACGGCUCACCCGUGGAACGGCUGGGCAUACUGGCGAUCUUGGGCCAACUAGGGGCAACUGGAACAAGCGGUGGAGCGGUGAAAUGCGUAGAUAUCGUUUGGAACGCCAAUGGUGAAAACAGCUAGCUGGGGAUGUGCCGACGCUGAGACACGAAAGCCAGGGGAGCGAACGGG